rnacentral:misc_RNA from 1 species
UUAUUAUCAUCUCAUUUUCACUAUUUUAGCAUUUGUUAUUUCUACCUUAAUUUACUCGUUAACCAAAAAAAACAAAUCAAAAAAAUUAAGGUUACCACCCGGUCCACCGGGAUGGCCGGUAGUCGGUAACCUUUUACAAGUGGCACGAUCUGGAAAACCGUUUUUCCAGAUCAUGCGAGAACUUCGUCAGAAGUACGGUCCUAUUUUUACCCUAAGAAUGGGUACUAGGACCAUGAUUAUUAUAAGCAACGCAGACUUAGUCCACGAAGCAUUGGUCCAGAAAGGUCAGAUUUUCGCGAGUAGACCUCGCGAAAACCCGACCCGGACUGUGUUUAGUUGUGACAAGUUUACGGUCAAUGCGGCCGUAUACGGGCCGGUUUGGAGGUCAUUAAGGAAAAACAUGGUACAAAACGGGCUUAGCUCAAUAAAGCUAAAAGAGUUCCGGGCCGUACGAAAAAGUGCUAUGGAUAAAAUGAUAGAUAAAAUUCGGGCCGAGGCGGAUGCAAAUGAGGGCUUGGUUUGGGUGUUGAAAAACUCUCGAUUUGCCGUCUUCUGCAUCCUACUUGCGAUGUGUUUUGGGGUUGAGAUGGAUGAAAAAACGAUUGAAACGAUCGAUCAGAUGAUGAAAAGUGUUUUGAUUGCUCUUGAUCCAAGAUUAGAUGAUUAUUUACCAAUUUUAAGCCCGUUUUUCUCUAAACAAAGAAAACGGGCCAUGGAUGUUAGAAAACAACAAAUUGAAACAAUUGUGCCAUUUAUUGAAAAACGUAAGAAGAUUCUAGAAAGUCCAGAAAUUGAUGAAACUGCAGCUUCAUUUUCAUACCUUGACACACUUUUUGAUCUCAAAAUUGAAGGUAGAAAUUCAGUACCGACAAAUACAGAACUAGUCACAUUAUGUUCAGAAUUUCUUAACGGAGGGACAGACACAACAGCAACAGCAAUAGAAUGGGCCAUAGGGAGAAUGAUUGAAAAUCCAAGUAUACAAUCGCGAUUAUACGAAGAAAUAAAAAAUACCGUUGGAGAAAAUAAAAUCGAUGAAAAAGACAUAGAGAAAAUGCCAUAUUUAAACGCGGUAAUAAAAGAAUUAUUACGUAAACAUCCACCUACGUACAUGUCAUUGACCCAUGCAGUAACGGAGCCCGCUAAAUUGGGCGGGUAUGAUAUACCCACGGAUGUUAAUGUUGAGAUUUUCUUACCCGGGAUUUCGGAUGACCCGAAUUUAUGGUCCGAACCCGAGAAGUUUGACCCGGAUAGGUUUUUUACGGGUAAAGAGGAAGCGGAUAUGACGGGUGUAUCGGGUGUGAAAAUGAUACCAUUUGGUAUGGGUCGGAGGAUUUGCCCCGGUUUGAAUAUGGCAACGGUUCAUGUGAGUUUAAUGUUGGCCCGAUUAAUUCAAGAAUUCGAAUGGUCCGACCCGGAAAAUACCCGAGUGGAUUUUACUGAAAAAUUGGAAUUUACUGUGGUGAUGAAAAAUACUCUAAGAGCUAAAAUUAAACCAAGAA